rnacentral:rRNA from 1 species
GAUGAACGCUGGCGGCGUGCCUAAUACAUGCAAGUCGAGCGAACGGACGAUAAGCUUGCUUCUCUGAUGUUAGCGGCGGACGGGUGAGUAACACGUGGAUAACCUACCUAUAAGACUGGGAUAACUUCGGGAAACCGGAGCUAAUACCGGAUAAUAUUUUGAACCGCAUGGUUCAAAAGUGAAAGACGGUCUUGCUGUCACUUAUAGAUGGAUCCGCGCUGCAUUAGCUAGUUGGUAAGGUAACGGCUUACCAAGGCAACGAUGCAUAGCCGACCUGAGAGGGUGAUCGGCCACACUGGAACUGAGACACGGUCCAGACUCCUACGGGAGGCAGCAGUAGGGAAUCUUCCGCAAUGGGCGAAAGCCUGACGGAGCAACGCCGCGUGAGUGAUGAAGGUCUUCGGGUCGUAAAGCUCUGUUAUUAGGGAAGAACAUAUGUGUAAGUAACUGUGCACAUCUUGACGGUACCUAAACAGAAAGCCACGGCUAACUACGUG